rnacentral:tRNA from 1 species
UCUGUCUUAGUUUAUGAAAAACGUUGCGUUGUGGGUGUAAAAAAAGGACUUUUCCUAGCCAGAA